UGUGAUGUGAGGAGUAGGAAGCGUCAGGUUUGAACUAGAAAGUGGCAAGUGUGUAAAAGAAAGUGGGACGUGAGAAGCAGUAGAAUGUUGACUCCAACCCCUGGGAGCUACAGGGUCACCUAAUAAACACGGAAGCUGUGACUCCUCUCCAACACAUCUGGAUUUUCCUAAUGAUUCCUAAGAAGACUGGAGGCCCGAACAGACAUCUCAUGGCUAGAUUCCAUGGAGUCUGAACUUUCCAGCGGAAAUCUCUACCACUCCUGUUCAAGUCACACAUCCAGAUGACGGUUGGCUCAGCUGAAGCAGGUGUUCAGGCCUGAUUCCAACUUUCGGUUCACCACAAUCUUCAAUUUACCAGAACCUCCUUUUCACCAGCUGAGGAGCGACAACCCCCGGCCUUCCAUAAAGCAGCAGUCUGCCCCCAGAAACAAGCGCAGCAUUGCCUGGAGCAGGAGAAGGGCGGCAAGGCUCCCAGCAAGCGGCCAGUCCAGCAGCUGCGGAGAAAGAGACAUUUUUGGAGUCAGAGACAAGUUGCAGGGUUUGUCCAUAGCCCUUUAAUUUUCUAUUACCCCGUGAUUCUUUCCACUUCGGUGACACUCCCAGAUGCUACGAACUGAGCUUUUGGAUCUCCCCAAGGAAUUCAGCAGUGUCAGAUCCUUAGACACAAGACACUAAAUCGUCGGAGGAAUUACUAAAGGGCUCUCCCACCACUGGUUCCAGGGAGGGCUUCCCACUGACAGCCAAAAGAAAAAAAGAAAAAAGGUGCUAAAACUCAGCUCACUUGCAUUUACACCUUGUAAACCUCAUUUGCAUGUGUCACAGCUAGGUUCCAGUGUGUGGAGCUGCAGAGACAGCCACCAAACGUUGCAUCCUGCCAACCCCUGGGCCUGUCAGUCACACCGACCACAAGUCAGUUACACUGACUCUCCAUGCCCCUCCCCACCUGCGGGGGACACAAAGAUCAGUCACAAAGUUUUAUUUGUGGCCUCAGUUCAUCGAGAUGGGUGGAAAAUUCCGGAGGUGUGCAGAAUAUAGGACACACCCCUGGAAAAUGCGUGCUUCAUUCCUUGCUAGAGCUUUAAUCCUAUGUUCUUCAACGGUCUCCUACUCUGGUGAGUUGGGCUUAACCACACAUGAAUGGUGUAUUAGUCAGGAUUAGGCUCCUUAGCAACUGACAGUAGCUUAAGCAAGGUAGAACUUUAUUUUCCUCAUGUAAAUGAAAUCCAGAGGACUCACAGGGCGGCUGUGUGAAAACUGGGAACUCAGGCUCUUAGCUUACUUCUCUGCCACUCUCAGUACAUGACUUCUACCUCAUGGUCCAAUAUGGCUGCUCUCACUCCAGCCACCACACAUGCAUCGUAGGCCAGGGCUGAGCAAAGUACUGCUCUCAAGCCAAAUCCAGUCCUCCUCCUGUUUUGCUAAAUAAGGUCUUAUUUGGAACACAGCCAUACCCAUUUGUUUACAUUUAGUCUGUAGCUGCUUUUGAAGUUCAGCAACAGAACUGGGUAGUCGUGACAGAGAUCACAUGGCCCACAGAGCUGAAA
rnacentral:lncRNA from 1 species